GCCUUCUAAGCCCCAAGAGAAGGUGUUGCCACUUGUUCCUUCCAUCAGGCUCCCCAAGCAUGUGCAGAAUUCUAACUGCCAGAUUCUAACUGAAGAAAUCCCCAAACCCAGCCUGAGAGUUUUCAGAAAACUAACCUGAGUCCUGCUCUGGAGCUGGCCUUAUUCACAUCAACAAUGCUGCUGUACCAGGACCAAAGCAGCCUCUUUCUCCUUCCAUGUGUCCUCUGUGUCCCAGCUCAGAACUAAUCUCCUACGCCUGGGCUCACUCACCUGCCUGACGCAGCAUGGACACCACAAGGAGAAAACAUUUGGGCAUCCCUGUGUAUCAGAUUCUAUUCUAAACUAAACUCCUUUCCUUGUUUUCCCUUUA